rnacentral:lncRNA from 1 species
GAGGGAUACUUAUACCCAUACCCUUUUAUGAGCUACUCUUGCCAGCAGAGUACUCGAUAAAUGAUCAAACAUGAUAAUUAUACCCUUUUAUGAACUGUCCUCUAUACAUUUCCUCCUUGGACCUGAACAGGCCGAAGAAGAAGCAAGGUAAUUAUAUGAUAACACCUUGUAACUUUUUUAUUUAUGAUACUACUGCCUGGGUAUUGGAUACCGGAAGCC